AUUGAACGCUGGCGGCAGGCCUAACACAUGCAAGUCGAGCGGAUGAAGGGAGCUUGCUCCUGGAUUCAGCGGCGGACGGGUGAGUAAUGCCUGGGAAUCUGCCUGGUAGUGGGGGAUAACGUCCGGAAACGGGCGCUAAUACCGCAUACGUCCUGAGGGAGAAAGUGGGGGAUCUUCGGACCUCACGCUAUCAGGUGAGCCUAGGUCGGAUUAGCUAGUUGGUGGGGUAAAGGCCUACCAAGGCGACGAUCCGUAACUGGUCUGAGAGGAUGAUCAGUCACACUGGAACUGAGACACGGUCCAGACUCCUACGGGAGGCAGCAGUGGGGAAUAUUGGACAAUGGGCGAAAGCCUGAUCCAGCCAUGCCGCGUGUGUGAAGAAGGUCUUCGGAUUGUAAAGCACUUUAAGUUGGGAGGAAGGGCAGUAAGUUAAUACCUUGCUGUUUUGACGUUACCAACAGAAUAAGCACCGGCUAACUUCGUG
rnacentral:rRNA from 1 species